rnacentral:rRNA from 1 species
GAUGGACGCUAGCGGCAGGCUUAACACAUGCAAGUCGAGGGGUAUAGUUCUUCGGAAUUAGAGACCGGCGCACGGGUGCGUAACGCGUAUGCAAUCUACCUUUUGCAGAGGGAUAGCCCAGAGAAAUUUGGAUUAAUACCUCAUGGUAUAGCACAACCGCAUGGUUGAGUUAUUAAAGUCACAACGGCAAAAGAUGAGCA